rnacentral:rRNA from 1 species
GACGAACCGUCCAAACGUUAUUCGGAAUCACUGGGCUUACAGAGUUCGUAGGCGGUCUGGAAAGUUGGGUGUGAAAUCCCUCGGCUCAACCGAGGAACUGCGCUUGAAACUACCAGACUCGAGGGAGAUAGAGGAAAGCGGAACUGAUGGUGGGGCGGUGAAAUGCGUUGAUAUCAUCAGGAGCACCGGUGGCGAAGGCGGCUUUCUGGGUCUUACCUGACGCUGAGGAACGAAAGCUAGGGGAGCGAACGGG